rnacentral:rRNA from 1 species
GAGUUGAUCCUGGCUCAGGAUGAACGCUAGCGACAGGCCUAACACAUGCAAGUCGAGGGCAGCACAAGGAGCAAUCUGAGGUGGCGACCGGCGCACGGGUGAGUAACACGUAUGCAACCUGGCUGUAAGAGGGGAAUAACCCGGAGAAAUCCGGACUAAUACCGCAUAAUACUUAGAAUCCGCAUGGAUUUUAAGUUAAACAUUUAUGGCUUACAGAUGGGCAUGCGUAUGAUUAGCUGGUUGGAGAGGUAACGGCUCCCCAAGGCAGCGAUCAUUAGGGGUUCUGAGAGGAAGGUCCCCCACACUGGUACUGAGACACGGCCCAAACUCCUACGGGAGGCAGCAGUAGGGAAUCUUCCGCAAUGGACGAAAGUCUGACGGAGCAACGCCGCGUGAGUGAAAAGAAGGUUUUCGGAUCGUAAAACUCUGUUGUCAGAGAAGAACAAGUUGGAGAGUAACUGCUCCAGCCUUGACGGUAUCUGACCAGAAAGCCACGGCUAACUACGUGCCAGCCGCCGC